rnacentral:rRNA from 1 species
AUGUCGUACUCUUCUCCGGUGGCUGCAUCUCUGUCGGAGGUGUGCAUCGUUCAGCGGUCGGCCGGCAUGGAGGAUUUGGAGCGUCGGCUCCAGCUGGCGGUGGUCGUGUACGUGGGUGGUGCCAGGCCGCCGGUGUCAUGCGAGGAGGCGACGGUGAUGCUUGCGGCUCAGCUGGACAUUCCCAGGCAUCGAUUCUCGGUUCACAAGUUUUUCCCGGAGGAUUUCCUCGUCGCCUUUGCUUCUCAUGAGUUCAGGAACAAAGCUCUGGCGCAGCCGGUGGUCCUUCACCAGGGCGUACAGCUCCAUAUCAAACCUUGGUUGCGCCGGGCUCAGGCGACGGCGAGAUGCAUGCGUGUCCAAGCUGACAUUUUGAUCGAGGGGGUGCCUUCCCAUACGUGGACCAAGGAGACAGCGGCAGAAUUACUCGGCAGCUCCUGCCUGAUCGACAGUCUGGCACCGGAGACGAAGAACCGCAAGGAUCUCUCCCUCUUCAAGCUGAGAGCGUGGUGCGUGGACCCUGAUGAGGUUCCGGUCAGCCGCCGGCUUUGGGUGCUGGAGCCGGUGGCUGCGGAUCCUGCGGAGCGGCGACCCUCCUUCCGGCAGCUGUUGGAGUAUCCCACGCUGAUUCACAUUGGGAGGCCGAGGGAUUUCUUGCCGCCGGAUAUGUGGAGACGGAUCUCGAACGCGGACAGUGAUAGUGGGCAGAGUGGACUGCCAGAUAGCUCGCAUGGUUCGUUCGCAGGAGGAGAUUGGACAGUGCAAUCAUGGUCGAGAGGUGUUCGGGAUCGCCGUGGCUCGGAUCGGUACGGCGCCGCGCCGGCGACAGGCGGAGAUGGCCGUUCGUACAGGCAGGCUCUCGAGGGGCGGGUGGGGCCGUCUGAUUGGAGGCUACCCCCCAUGACAUCGCCAGGACGGAUGGGACCGCAUCAACAGGUGCCCAAUCGCGUGGUGGUGAGUGACCCGGGCUGGACCCCUAACGGUCCGCAGAGUAGGUUGGUGGUGCCGGCAGUUUUGGUGGAGCAGGCAACGGAGAAGAUGGCAACUGGUCAGUUGGAAUUGGUCAAAAGUGGCGCAUUGGGCGCUUCAGAUGACAGCGACAAGGCGAAGGAGGAUGGAAGUGGAGAGGAUCAGGUUGGGCAGGUGGAUAGGACGAUUGCCUCGGAUCCCGUGGCUUGUCCGGUUGCUGGCUCUGUCCCCCCUGCGCUGGAUGCUGGCGGUCUAUCGCAUGUGGACCAGGAGAGGCCAAUAGUGACAUCCGGGAUCCCAUUGGCACUCGCAGCCUCGGAUACCGUUGUCCAGUCGGUGGAAAGUGAGGGGGAUCUGUUGUGA